GACGAACGCUGGCGGCGUGCUUAACACAUGCAAGUCGAACGGAAAGGCCCUGCUUUUGUGGGGUGCUCGAGUGGCGAACGGGUGAGUAACACGUGAGUAACCUGCCCUUGACUUUGGGAUAACUUCAGGAAACUGGGGCUAAUACCGGAUAGGAGCUCCUGCUGCAUGGUGGGGGUUGGAAAGUUUCGGCGGUUGGGGAUGGACUCGCGGCUUAUCAGCUUGUUGGUGGGGUAGUGGCUUACCAAGGCUUUGACGGGUAGCCGGCCUGAGAGGGUGACCGGCCACAUUGGGACUGAGAUACGGCCCAGACUCCUACGGGAGGCAGCAGUGGGGAAUAUUGCACAAUGGGCGGAAGCCUGAUGCAGCAACGCCGCGUGCGGGAUGACGGCCUUCGGGUUGUAAACCGCUUUCGCCUGUGACGAAGCGUGAGUGACGGUAAUGGGUAAGGAAGCACCGGCUAACU
rnacentral:rRNA from 1 species